rnacentral:rRNA from 1 species
UGGGGAAUAUUGGACAAUGGGCGCAAGCCUGAUCCAGCCAUGCCGCGUGAGUGAUGAAGGCCCUAGGGUUGUAAAGCUCUUUCACCGGUGAAGAUAAUGACGGUAACCGGAGAAGAAGCCCCGGCUAACUUCGUGCCAGCAGCCGCGGUAAUACGAAGGGGGCUAGCGUUGUUCGGAUUUACUGGGCGUAAAGCGCACGUAGGCGGACUUUUAAGUCAGGGGUGGAAUCCCGGGGCUCAACCCCGGAACUGCCUUUGAUACUGGAAGUCUUGAGUAUGGUAGAGGUGGGUGGAAUUCCGGGUGUAGAGGUGAAAUUCGUAGAUAUUCGGGGGAACACCAGUGGCGAAGGCGGCUCACUGGACCAUUACUGACGCUGAGGUGCGAAAGCGUGGGGAGCAAACAGG